AGUAAGCCUUAAUGACCCUAAACAGCCUCACCUGUGCACCAGACCACACCCAGGAGCCCUAUUUAAACCCAGCUCUGAGCCUAAGUUCUUUCAUAGAGCUUUGCCGGAGGAAUGCUGUUUUUCAGCCCUGUCCCUGCCUGUGAAGAUUCUUAAUCUGGACUUCAGACUGACCGCCUGGUUUAACCUUCUCUAUGACUACAGAGCAGCUUGGCAAUUGCUGGACCUGAUGGUGACUUGUGGACUGGAUUGCUGCUUGUUCACAAGCCUGAUAGACUCCAGGCUGGGCUUGGCUGCUGCUGGACCUUCUCUUCUUGGGUACCUUGAACUUGGGCCUAGGCUGGCAGAGGUCUCUUCUCCUGCUGUGGGAGCCCAGAGGUGGCCUGGUCUGCUCUUGUUCCAAGUGCCAUGAAGUGCUGCCACAGAAGUACCACUGCAAGGCAAACUUGUGGGGAGAGUCUUGCUGAGGCUGACACAACUCCCAGUUUGACUGAGUUAACUGGCUAAUUGGAGAGACAUGGGAAGAUGUACAUGGAAAGAGAGUAAGAGGCUUCUGAAACAGGAGGUGGAGAAAGAGAACUGCAUUCAAAAUCCAUUACCAGGAGCUUCAGCCAGCCUCAAGCAGUCAUCUGUAAUGCAGCUAAACCAAGGUAAGUGUUGAGCCUUACUACUUUUACUGAUAAGACUUUACUGUUUAAAGCAGUAGCUGAACAUGUUUAAGUGUUUCUAUGUAUAUUUGCAAACAUAACUUCUAUUGAUGGGUCUCAAAAUGCAUUUGGAAGCUAGUUUGUGUGUUUGCGUGCUCUAGGGCUCCUCAGGGUUGCUACAACUACCAGGUGCUAAAAGCCCUUCAGAAUCAGACUAAGUAGGAGCUGCAAGGAUAUUAAAAGCUUGUUUCCCACUUUAAAUCACA